rnacentral:rRNA from 2 species
CCUACGGGCGGCAGCAGUGAGGGAUAUUGCACAAUGGGGGGAACCCUGAUGCAGCAACGCCGCGUGAGGGAAGAAGGUUUUCGGAUUGUAAACCUCUGUCCUUGGUGAAGAAGCAAGUGACGGUAGCCGAGGAGGAAGCCACGGCUAACUACGUGCCAGCAGCCGCGGUAAUACGUAGGUGGCGAGCGUUGUCCGGAAUUACUGGGUGUAAAGGGAGCGCAGGCGGAAUAGCAAGUCAGUGGUGAAAUGUAUGGGCUUAACCCAUAAAUUGCCGUUGAAACUGUUAUUCUUGAGUGGAGUAGAGGCAAGUGGAAUUCCUAGUGUAGCGGUGAAAUGCGUAGAUAUUCGGAGGAACACCGGUGGCGAAGGCGACUUGCUGGGCUCUAACUGACGCUGAGGCUCGAAAGUGUGGGGAGCAAACAGGAUUAGAUACCCUGGUAGUC